GCAUGAUCUCAGCUCACUGCAACCUCCAACUCCCAGUAUUCUCCUGCUUCAGCCUGCCAAAUCCUCUUAUCGAUGAGUGGAACCUCUUUCUCCAUAACUUGAAUCUGCACUGGCCAUCUGGCUUGCUUUGGCCUAAAGAAUGUGGGCCAUUUCUGAGUCCAGGCUUCAAGAGGACUUUGCAUUUCCUUUUUCUCUCUUGACACACUGUUGAAGUAUAAUGUAAAUGAGCCAGGGCACUCUUAGAAGGUGAGAUACGUAGUUCAAUGGUUCUCAUUGCUCUAGGUGAUAUCCAGCUAACCCCCAGAAGCAGAGCAACUUGAACAAGUUGCGGCUGACCACUGAUCCUCAUGGAGUCAGCUUCAAUUAGAAGAAUUGCUCAACUGAGUGUGGUCUAAAUGAUCUAUUUCUAAAUUAUGAACACAAUAAAUGCUUAUUGUUUUAAGCCACUGAGAAUUAAGGUGACUUGUUAUGCAGUAACAGAUAAUUGAUAGACUGUUCAUGAGUUCUGUGUCUCUGAAGAGUUUAUGUUGUUUGCCUUUGUAAUACCUAACAUGAUGUGUUAAGAGUACUCACUCAAUAAUAAAUUAUUUAGUUAACUGAAAUGUUUCCAUAGCAAUAAGAAUAGGCAGUUGGUCAUUUGAUGAUUUAGUAUGAUCCAAAUAAUCCCUAUGAAUAAUCAAUCCAUUCUAUACCAUAUUAAGUAAUCUGAACAUUUAAUAGGAAUAUUGAUAUAUAGAAAAGGCUGAAUCUCAAGGUAGGAUGGACUGUUUCCACAAAAUUUUGAUAUUGGUUUGAACACCCAUACUCUAAUACCUGCAGUUAUAACAGAUGUUAAUCAUACAAGAAAAAUUAGAUUAAGUGUUUUCUCCCCAUUUUAAUGGUCUCUUUUAAUGGUCCCAGCACAGCUUAAAUUUCUGGAGUUCACUAGCAUCUCUAUAGUAGUCAAAUGACAGAAAUAUGGCAGCCUUGUUCAUCAAAAGUGUAGUCCUCAGACCAGAAAGAACAGUGUCACUUCUGAGCUUUAUGGAAAUACAAAAUCUGAUCUGGGGCUAGCUGAAGAAUGAAGGAAUUAGCCAGACUGAGGGAGAGUCCUUGGGAGGAUUGAUUCUAGUCUGCAGUCACUUUCUGUUCUUGUUGGAAUGUACUAUAUGGCACAGAGAUGGACAUUAUGGGCUAUUGUGACCAUGUGAUCAAACAAGUUACAAUUACAAUGGAAUCAUUGGGCCCCUGCAGUUUCUGUAUUUAUAAAACCAUGCCAUUAAAGGGCCUUAAAUGACAUUUUUCUGAACUCAUAGUUCAAUGGAAGUCAUUUUUUUCUGAAACAUGCCUCUCAUACCUGGUACACAUCAACUUUAAAAAAUCAAAAGGCGGGGAAAUCUCCCUUAUUCUCGUCUAGGGUGAAAAUGAUCUGUUCUUCCACUCUUCUCCUUAGGAAAUGGCAACUUAAUCCUUUUUCAGACAGCUAUCUUCCCCUAGGAAGCUCUCUUUUUGUGCUCUCAGCUUCAAUUACUUCGAUUUGCAUUUGCCAUGUUGUUCUAGAGAUGGGGGAAAAUGCUUUCUGCAAAUGUUAGAGUUUAUUUUUACCAAGAGAGCAUAAACCAGAGUUGGACUUGAAAAUAAAAGGGAGUUUAUCUUAUGUACUCUCUGACAAUAAAAGACUCAAUAGAAUUUUCUCUUUCAAAAAUAAAAAAGAGCUUUAUUUCAUGUUUGUUGGUCGCAUAAAUGUGUUCUUUUAAGAAGUGUCUUUUCAUAUACUUUGCCCACUGUUUUUAGGGGGUUGUUUGUGCUUUUCUUGUAAAUUUGUUUAAGUUCCUUGUAGGUUCUGGAUAUUAGCCCUUUGUCAGAGGGAUAGAUUGCAAAAAUCUUCUCCUAUUCUGUAGGUCAUCUCUUCACUCUGAUGAUAGUUUCUUUUGCUGUGCAGAAGCCCUUUAUUUAGAUCCCAUUUGUCAAUUUUGACUUUUGUUGCCAUUGCUUUUGGUGUUUUACUUACGAAGUUUUUGCCCAUGCCUACAUCCUGAAUGGUAUUGCCUAGGUUUUCUUCUAGGGUUUUUAUGGUUUUAGGUCUUACGUUUAAGUGUUUAAUCCAUCUUGAGUUAAUUUUUGUAUAAGGUAUAAGGAAGGGAUCCAGUUUCAGUUGUCUGCACAUGGCUAGUCAAUUUUCCAACACCAUUUAUUAAAUAAGGAAUCAUUUCCCCAUUGUUUGUUUUUGUCAGGCUUGUCAAAUAUCAGAUGGUUGUAGAUGUGUGGCAUUACUUCUGAGGCCUCCGUUCUGUUCCAUUGGUCUAUAUAUCUGUUUUGGUACCAGUACCAUGUUGUUUUGGUUACUGUAGCCUUGUAGCAUAGUUUGAAGUCAGGUGGCAUGAUGCCUCCAGCUUUGUUCUUUUUGCUUAGGAUUGUCUUGGCUAUACAGACUCUUUUUUGGUUCUAUAUGAAAUUUAAAGUAGUUUUUUCUAAUUCUGUGAAGAAAGUCAUUGGUAGCUUGAUGGAUAGGCAUUGAAUCUAUAAAUUAAUUUGGGCAGUAUGGCCAUUUUCACAAUAUUGAUUCUUCCUAUCCAUGAGCAUGGAAUGUUUUUCCAUUUGUUUGCAUCUUAAUUCCUUGAUCAGUGGUUCAUAUUUCUCCUUGAAAAAGUCCUUCACAUCCCCUGUAAAUUGUAUUCCUAGGUAUUUUAUUUUCUUUGUAGCAAUUGUGAAUGGAAUUUCACUCAUGAUUUGGCUCUUUCUUUGUCUAUUAUUGGUGUAUAGGAAUGCUUGUGAUUUUUGCACAUUGAUUUUGUAUCCUGACACUUAGCUCAAGUUGCUUAUCAGCUUAUGGAGAUUUUGGGCUGAGACGAUGGGGUUUACUAAAUAUACAAUCAUGUCAUCUGAAAACAAAGACAAUAUGACUUCCUCUCUUCCUAUUUGAAUAUCUUUUAUUUCUUUCUCUUGCCUCAUUGCCCUGGCCAGAACUUCCAAUACUAUGUUGAAUAGGAGUGGUGACACGGGACAUCCUUGUCUUAUGCCAGUUUUCAAAGAAUGCUUCCAGCUUUUGCCUGUUCAGUAUGAUAUUGGCUGUGGGUUUGUCGUAAAUAAAUGCCCUUAUUACUUUGAAAUAAGUCCCAUCAAAACCUCGUUUAUUGAUAGUUUUUAGCAUGAUGGGGUGUUGAAUUUUAUCGAUAGCCUUUUCUGCAUCUAUUGAGAUAAUCGUGUGGUUUUUGUCAUCGUUUUAUUUAUGUGAUGGAUUAUGUUUAUUGAUUUGUGUAAGUUGAACCAGCCUUGCAUCCCAGGGAUGAAGCUGACUUGAUCGUGGCGGAUAAGCUUUUUGAUGUGCUGCUGGAUUCGGGUUGCCAGUAUUUUAUUGAGAAUUUUUGCGCUGAUGUUCAUCAGGGAUAUUGGCAUGAAAUUUUCUGUUUUUCUUGUGUCUCUCCCAGGCUUUACUGUCAGGAUGAUGCUGGCCUCAUAAAAUGAGUUAGGGAGGAGUCCCUCUUUUUCUAUAGUCUGGAAUAGUUUCAGAAGGCAUGGUACCAGCUCCUCGUUGUACCUCUGGUAGAAUUCGGCUGUGAAUUUGUUUGGUCCUGGGCUUUUUUUCGGUUGGUAGGCUAUUAAUUACUGCCCCAAUUUCAGGACUUGUUAUUGGUCUAUUCAGGGAUUCGACUUCUUCCUGGUUUAGUCUUGGGAGGGUAUAUGUCUCCAGGAAUUUAUCCAUUUCUUCUAGAUUUUCUAGUUUAUUUGCGUAGAGGUGUUUAUAGUAUUCUUUGAUGGUAGUUUGUAUUUCUGUGGUAUCCGUGGUGAUAUCCCCUUUAUCAUUUUUAUUGUGUCUAUUUGAUUCUCCUCUCUUUUCUCCUCUAUUAGUCUGGCUAACAUUCUACCUAUUUUGUUAAUCUUUUCAAAAAACCAGAUCCUGGAUUCAUUGAUUUUUUUGAAGGGUUUUUUGUGUCUCUAUCUCUUUCAGUUUUGCUCUGAUCUUAGUUAUUUCUUGUCUACUGCAAACUCUUGAAUUUGUUUGCUCUUACUUCUCUAGUUCUUUUAAUUGUGAUGUUAGGAUGUCGAUUUUAGAUCUUUCCUGCAUUCUCCUGUGGGCAUUUAGUGCUGUAAAUUUCCCUCUGAACACUGCUUUAGGUGUGUCCCAUAGAUUCUGGUACGUUGUGUCUUUGUUCUCAUUAGUUUCAAACAACGUAUUUAUUUCUGCCUUAAUUUCGUUAUUUACCCAGUAGUCAUUCGGGAGCAGGUUGUUCAGUUUUCAUGUAGUUGUGCGGUUUUGAGUGAGUUUCUUAAUCCUGAGUUCUAAAUUGAUUGCGCUGUGGUCUGAGAAACUGUUUGUUAUGAUUUCUGUUCUUUUGCAUUUGCUGAGGAGUGUUUUACUUCUAAUUUAUGUGGGCUGUUUUAAAAUAGCUGUGAUGUGCUGAGAAAAAUGUAUAUUCUGUUGAUUUGGGGUAGAGAGUUCUGUAGAUGUCUGUUAGGUCGGCUUGGUCCGGAGCUGAGUUCAAAUCCUGAAUAUCGUUGUUAAUUUUCUGCCUUGUUGAUCUGUCUAAUAUUGACAGUGGAGUGUUAAAGUCUCCCACUAUUAUUGUGUGGGAGUCUAAGUAUCUUUGUAGUCUCUAAGGACUUACUUUAUGGAUCUGGGUCGUCCUGAAUUGGGUGCAUAUGUAUUUAGGAUAGUUAGCUCUUCUUGUUACAUUGAUCCCUUUACCAUUAAGUAAUGGCCUUUGUCUUUUUUACCUUUGUUGGGUUAAAGUCUGUUUUAUCAGAGACUGGGAUUGCAACCCCUGCUUAUCAUCAGUGGUCAUCAAAGACAUACAAAUAAUAACCACAACAAGAUACCAUCUCAUGCCAGUUAGAAUGGUGGUCAUUAAAAACUCAGGAAACAACAGAUGCUGGAGGGGAUGUGAAGAAAUAGGAAGGCUUUUACAUCGCUGGUGGGAGUGUAAAUUAGUUCAACCAUUGUGGAAGACAGUGUGGUGAUUCCUCAGGGAUCUAGAACCAGAAAUACCAUUUGACACAGCAAUCCCUUUACUGGGUAUAUUCCCAAAGGAUUAUAAAUCAUUCUACUGUAAAGACAUGUGCACACAUAUGUUUAUUGCAGCACUAUUCACAAUACCAGAAACUUUGAACCAACCCAAAUGCCCAUCAAUGAGAGACUGAAUAAAGAAGAUGUGGCACAUAUACACCAUGGAAUACUAUGCAGCCAUAAAAGAACAAUGAGUUCAUGUUUUUUGCAGAGAUGUGGAUGAAGCUGGAAACCAUCAUUCUCAGCAAACUAACACAGGAAUAGAAAAAUCAAACACCACAUGUUCUCACUCAUAAGUGAGAGUAGAACAAUGAGAACACAUGGACACAGGGUGGGGAACAUCACACACUGGGGCCUGUUGGGGUGUGGGGACCUAGGGGAGGGAUAGUAUUAGGAGAAAUACCUAAUGUAGAUGACUGGUUGAUGGGGGCAGCAAACCACUAUGGUACAUGUAUACCUAUGUAACAAACCUGCACGUUCUGCAUGUGUAUCCCAGAACUUAAAGUAUAAUAAUAAUUAAAAAAUGAAGCUAGAAAGCAUAAAUUUUUUCAAAUAAGUAAAUAGUAAAAAAGAGGAAGCCCUAGUAACUUUGACUGAUAAAGACAUGUGAUUUUAUUUCUACUAGUAAUUUGCUACUUCUAAAAAGCCAGAGAGGCUCCCAUUAUCGUAUUUAUAAAUCAAUAUGAAAAUCAUUUCUAAAAAAAUUUCUAAGAAAUGAUCCAAAUAUGGAGUUUAUAUGCAUAAGUUUGCUUUGGUUUAGUUUUUUGUGGUAUUAAAAACUUGAAAGCAACUGAGAUAACCAACGGUAUUGAAAGAGUGAAAUGAAUCAUGGUACAAUCUUUUUGUGAAGCAUUAUGAAUCCAGAAGUGGAAAUUUGCUUAUACUGCAGUGAACACUAAAUGUAAUUGCAAAAUAUUAUGACUGUCAUGUUUGCUCUGUAGAAGUUUCAUAUGCAAAAGUGAAAGCAAAACUUUCCGAAGCUUAGCUAGUGAAAUUUAAUAAACAAAAAAGCAAUAAGGCUGAUAAAUGCAUCUCAAAUUUGCACAGCAUAGUGGUUUUAAUGCUCAAAUAAAUUCAUAACAGCUUUUGGGUACCUAACAUGUAAUGAAGUAUGGGAGUCCUAAUUUCAAAAUAAAAAUUACAGUAGAGUUUCAUUUAUUAAAUUGCUUUUUAUUUUCCACACUUUAAAAAUAUUAUCAAAACUUUUAUAAUUUAAAGAUGGAUGAAAGCUACUGUUUAUGGCAAUGUUGUGGACUAGAUAAUAUGAAAACCUUCUUGUUAUCAAAAUCCUGGAAAAUGCUAGUAGCAACAUAUUAAUAUUAAUUUGAAAUUACAUAGUUAAUUUUGAAAAUGAAUCCCCAAAGGUCAAAAUCAAAGAAGAAAUUGGUAAACAGAGUCAUUAGCUGAAACGGAUGACUUGGUUGUUCUUAG
rnacentral:lncRNA from 10 species